rnacentral:rRNA from 3 species
GCAUGUCUAAGUAUAAACGCUUCUAUACUGUGAAACUGCGAAUGGCUCAUUAAAUCAGUUAUAGUUUAUUUGAUGGUUCCUUACUACUUGGAUAACCGUAGUAAUUCUAGAGCUAAUACAUGCAGAAAGUCCCGACUUCUUGGAAGGGAUGUAUUUAUUAGAUCCAAAACCAGCGCGAGUUUCCUUCGGGGGCUCGGUUGCAUGGUGAUUCAUGAUAACUGCUCGAAUCGCAUGGCCUUGCGCCGGCGAUGAUCCAUUCAAAUUUCUGCCCUAUCAACUUUCGAUGGCAAGGUAGUGGCUUGCCAUGGUGACAACGGGUGACGGAGAAUUAGGGUUCGAUUCCGGAGAGGGAGCCUGAGAAACGGCUACCACAUCCAAGGAAGGCAGCAGGCGCGCAAAUUACCCAAUCCCGACUCGGGGAGGUAGUGACAAUAAAUAACAAUGCUGGGCUAUCGUAGUCUGGCAAUUGGAAUGAGUACAAUCUAAACCCCUUAACGAGGAACAAUUGGAGGGCAAGUCUGGUGCCAGCAGCCGCGGUAAUUCCAGCUCCAAUAGCGUAUAUUAAAGUUGUUGCAGUUAAAAAGCUCGUAGUUGGAUUUCGGGGCAGCCCGGCUGGUCCGUCGCGAGGCGAGUACUGGUCGGCCGCCCUUCCUCUCGAAAGCCCCGACUGCUCUUCACUGCAGUGGUCGGGGAGUUCGGGACGUUUACUUUGAAAAAAUUAGAGUGUUCAAGGCAGGCCAUCGCCUGAAUACAUUAGCAUGGAAUAAUGGAAGAGGACCUCGGUCCUAUUUUGUUGGUUUCUAGGGCCGAAGUAAUGAUUAAGAGGGACAGUUGGGGGCAUUCGUAUUUAAUUGUCAGAGGUGAAAUUCUCGGAUUUAUGAAAGACGAACAACUGCGAAAGCAUUUGCCAAGGAUGUUUUCAUUAAUCAAGAACGAAAGUUAGGGGUUCGAAGACGAUCAGAUACCGUCGUAGUCCUAACCAUAAACUAUGCCGACUAGGGAUCGGCGG